rnacentral:rRNA from 1 species
GAUGAACGCUGGCGGCGUGCCUAAUACAUGCAAGUCGAGCGAAUGGAUUAAGAGCUUGCUCUUAUGAAGUUAGCGGCGGACGGGUGAGUAACACGUGGGUAACCUGCCCAUAAGACUGGGAUAACUCCGGGAAACCGGGGCUAAUACCGGAUAAUACUUUGAACUGCAUGGUUCAAAAUUGAAAGGCGGCUUCGGCUGUCACUUAUGGAUGGACCCGCGUCGCAUUAGCUAGUUGGUGAGGUAACGGCUCACCAAGGCAACGAUGCGUAGCCGACCUGAGAGGGUGAUCGGCCACACUGGGACUGAGACACGGCCCAGACUCCUACGGGAGGCAGCAGUAGGGAAUCUUCCGCAAUGGACGAAAGUCUGACGGAGCAACGCCGCGUGAGUGAGGAAGGCUUUCGGGUCGUAAAACUCUGUUGUUAGGGAAGAACAAGUGCUAGUUGAAUAAGCUGGCACCUUGACGGUACCUAACCAGAAAGCCACGGCUAACUACGUGCCAGCAGCCGCCGUAA